GGUGGCUCAGUGGUAGAGCACUUGCCUUGCAUGCUCGAGGCCCUGGGUUCGAUUCCCCAGCACCA
rnacentral:tRNA from 1 species